GGAGAAUUUCCCGAGUGGCCAAAGGGAGCAGACUGUAAAUCUGUUGCGUAUCGCUUCGGUGGUUCAAAUCCACCAUUCUCCACCA
rnacentral:tRNA from 1 species